AUUGAAUGCUGGCGGCAUGCCUUACACAUGCAAGUCGAACGGCAGCACGGAGCUUGCUCUGGUGGCGAGUGGCGAACGGGUGAGUAAUAUAUCGGAACGUACCCUAGAGUGGGGGAUAACGUAGCGAAAGUUACGCUAAUACCGCAUACGAUCUAAGGAUGAAAGUGGGGGAUCGCAAGACCUCAUGCUCGUGGAGCGGCCGAUAUCUGAUUAGCUAGUUGGUAGGGUAAAAGCCUACCAAGGCAUCGAUCAGUAGCUGGUCUGAGAGGACGACCAGCCACACUGGAACUGAGACACGGUCCAGACUCCUACGGGAGGCAGCAGUGGGGAAUUUUGGACAAUGGGCGAAAGCCUGAUCCAGCAAUGCCGCGUGAGUGAAGAAGGCCUUCGGGUUGUAAAGCUCUUUUGUCAGGGAAGAAACGGUGAGAGCUAAUAUCUCUUGCUAAUGACGGUACCUGAAGAAUAAGCACCGGCUAACUACGUGCCAGCAGCCGCGGUAAUACGUAGGGUGCAAGCGUUAAUCGGAAUUACUGGGCGUAAAGCGUGCGCAGGCGGUUUUGUAAGUCUGAUGUGAAAUCCCCGGGCUCAACCUGGGAAUUGCAUUGGAGACUGCAAGGCUAGAAUCUGGCAGAGGGGGGUAGAAUUCCACGUGUAGCAGUGAAAUGCGUAGAUAUGUGGAGGAACACCGAUGGCGAAGGCAGCCCCCUGGGUCAAGAUUGACGCUCAUGCACGAAAGCGUGGGGAGCAAACAGGAUUAGAUACCCUGGUAGUCCACGCCCUAAACGAUGUCUACUAGUUGUCGGGUCUUAAUUGACUUGGUAACGCAGCUAACGCGUGAAGUAGACCGCCUGGGGAGUACGGUCGCAAGAUUAAAACUCAAAGGAAUUGACGGGGACCCGCACAAGCGGUGGAUGAUGUGGAUUAAUUCGAUGCAACGCGAAAAACCUUACCUACCCUUGACAUGGCUGGAAUCCCCGAGAGAUCAGGGAGUGCUCGAAAGAGAACCAGUACACAGGUGCUGCAUGGCUGUCGUCAGCUCGUGUCGUGAGAUGUUGGGUUAAGUCCCGCAACGAGCGCAACCCUUGUCAUUAGUUGCUACGAAAGGGCACUCUAAUGAGACUGCCGGUGACAAACCGGAGGAAGGUGGGGAUGACGUCAAGUCCUCAUGGCCCUUAUGGGUAGGGCUUCACACGUCAUACAAUGGUACAUACAGAGCGCCGCCAACCCGCGAGGGGGAGCUAAUCGCAGAAAGUGUAUCGUAGUCCGGAUUGUAGUCUGCAACUCGACUGCAUGAAGUUGGAAUCGCUAGUAAUCGCGGAUCAGCAUGUCGCGGUGAAUACGUUCCCGGGUCU
rnacentral:rRNA from 1 species